CACUCUUCGGAUCCCCAGCAACUCUCUGGGCGUGAGGUAUGCAAGAAUGUGGUGCUGCAUUUCAGCCGACAGCUGUUGAAACCUGGCGUUGUUACAUCGCAUAUGUGACGUCACUCUUCGGAUCCCCAGCAACUCUGGGCGUAAGGUAUGCAAGAAUAUGGUGCUGAAUUUCAGCCGACAACUGUUCAAACCUGGCGUUGUUACGUCGCAUACGUGACGUCACCCUUCGGAUCCCCAGUAGCUCUCUGGGCGUCAGGUACGCAAGGAUGAGUGCUGCAUUUCCGCGGGCAGCUGUUCAAACCUGGCGUUGUUACGUCGCAUGCGUGACGUCACUCUUCGGAUCCCUAGAAACUCUCUGGGCGUGAGGUAUGCAAGAAUAUGGUGCUGCAUUUCAGCCGACAGCUGUUGAAACCUGGCGUUGUUACGUCGCAUGCCUGACGUCACUCUUCGGAUCCCCAGGAACCCUCUGGUCAUGAGGUAUGCAAGAAUGAGGUGCUGAGUUUUUGCCGACAGCUGAUCAAACCUGGCGUUGUUACGUCGCAUGCGUGACGUCACUCUUCGGAUCUCCAGCAACUCUCUGGGCGUGAGAACCAAGAGUUUCAGGUUCACGGCGGAGAUCGCGACUCGGGGCGACCGGCGGGACCGAGGAUGCUCCAUGUACCAGCCGCCGUGCCGGAUCACCCCCGCCAUCUGGCGGGAGAUAUGUCACAUGUUCCCUUAAACCCAAAGCACCACCAAGAUCACAGGUGAGUUCAUGUUUAGCUCUUGUUGUGCGUGGAUGUGGGUAGAGCGCUUUUUAGGAUUCGCAAGCGUGUGUGUGAUGGAGAUCGGUACCUCGUAUGAUGUUUGUCGGAUAUGUAUGUUUUAAGUGUCGAUGAGAGUUGGUCUUUUAAUUUUGUCGAGUUGAUGUAUGCGAAGGGUGUCUUCAGUUUCUAAAAACCAUCUCGCUUGUGUGGCUGUCUCCUCAGCUUGUUCUUAUGCUGGGAUCUAUUCACAGGGAAUUAUCACAGACGCGGAGACACCUGGCUCGUCCGGUAUGAGCGCGGCGGAGCAGGCGGGCCCAUCGGCGAAGAAGGCGAAGGUAGCAGCGCCGAGUGACCAUGCUAAUAACGGCAAGCAAAGUGGUGCUAUUGGAGCGCAGUUGGGCCUGCUGAUGCUGUUUAUCAUUAUGAUACUUAUAGGGAUUGGGAGAUGAGUGCUGUAUAUUUUAAAGUUCCUCAACUGCGUAAUGUUAAGACGAAUAUUACGUGUAAGUUGUCUACGAAGAUUGCCGUGCUUUUGCCACCUCAGGAUCGUACGGGACCUGUGCAGGUUAAGCCUAGCAACUCAUUGUAUCGUCUUGGACGAGUGUAUUCAGAGGGUACUGACACUGUUGUGUAUCAUAUGUAGGCUGCGGAAGAAUAAAUGUGAAGAUGAUGAA